AGCCCAGAACGCAGGAUUCUCAAAAGGAAAAAGCCCCCAACGCAGGCGGCAGCCUUGAUCCCCUCCUUCCUCCCCAGUCCCCACCGCCGCCACGAACUCUGCUCAAGCUCGCUCCCAUGGCUCCCGUCAUCGGCAUGGACUCUUUGCCCGUUCCGCAAGCCGAAAAAGGACUCGAGUCCCUCGAUCGAAAUCCCAGAUCAGACCGGAUCGCGGCGGCAGGCGGCGCCACGACAGGUUGCCGGCCUGCAGUCCUCCUCACGGGACAAGCUGCGUUCGCGGUGCGCUCUCGCUGCCCGCCGGCUUCGACGGUGUGGGCCGGGGCGCCGCCCUUCCGCAGAUCCGCAAUCGAGUCGUGCGUCCGGUCUGCCGCCUCCCCUCGACGUCCACGGCUCUGUGCUCUUCCGUGUUCUCUCCUAGCGCAGGCUGUGGGGGCGCUACGCCGCUAUCUGCCGGCUCCUCAUACAAGAGCGAUGGACAAACUGAGCCCUGUGGGAAACAAUUGCAUCAGCUCAGCGACGUCCAGCGUUUCUCCUCUCUACGUUUCUUUGCACGCCUCAUCUCCAAGCACGAAGCCACGGCGAGAUGUGGGUCAUCAGCCUAAGGCAACAAGCCAAGAAUCGUGAGGGGAGAGAAUUUGACAUCAUAAAUGACUAUCUCUAGUAAGACCUUUUUCCUUAUAUGUUUCUUGUCAAUUAUAUUUCAACCUGCACCUUUCAAAUAUUAUUUCUAUGUGUCCUUACUCCUUGUACUAAGUCUACCAAAACAAAAUACAGAAAUAGCAAAUCUAAGUAUGCUCUAGAUAUUUAACAUGUGAGACAAUAGGUGAAAAAGACCAACAGAGCAUCAUUCUGGAAAGAAGAUAUCAACGUUGGAUUUGAAUCUUUCACAUUUUAUCAAACUCACUUCCAAUGGAUGUGGCACAAACGAAAGGAACCAAGCGGGACUGAGUGCAAGUCUUGUAUUCUUCAUCUGCAUAUAUUAAUAAUGUAGGGUCUAUUUACAGUUGAUUACACUCUGACUAUCUUGUAUGGACAAAAAAAUAAUCAUGAUUCAGAUCUUUUUAUUUAAUAAUUAGCGUGUGAAUUUUCUUGGGGUUGGCAGUUAGUAUAGGUAUAUAUCCGAUAAGGAUUAGGGUGCAAGUGAUGCAAAUUCACAUGAAGUUUAAUAUACAAUGCAAGCAAACAAUUGUAUAGACUCACAAAAUAAUGGAACUUUUUGUUCUUCAGGCAAGCUGGAAUGUUCUUGCAUAACCAGUGAAUGUGCUGCUACCCAUAAUAUUGAUUUUAAUUUUAAAAUAAAUAAGUAGACAUCAAAAUAAACUCAUAAAAUAAUAGCACGGCCAAUGCCACAAUUGAGUACGUAGAUGGUCUGUCCUAAAAUAAUUUUGUGAUAUUUAAAUGAGCUAAAAUAAUUUACGUAGAUGGACGCGGGUCAUAUCCUAAGAAAUAGGCAUCCCACAACCAACAUGAUCCCAACAACGAUAUCCCUUAUGCUCAUCUUUGUAUCCUAACAAGACACACUCAACAGACCGAGAUGUCAGUUUGGUGCGUUCACGAGGUGCAAGAAGGACAUAGCAAACACAACCAAAAAAUUGAAGCGCCGAAUAACCGAUCAAAUAGAUGCUCGAAAGGAGCGUCACCCUGCAGAGUAGUGGAUUGCUGAAGGUUGAUGAGAUAGAUGGAAGUGGAGACGGACUUGACCCAAAAGUGCGGUGAAAGAGAGGUGGUAACCAUCAAUGGACGAGCCGUCUCAAGAAGGUGACGAUGCUUGCGUUUAGCCACGCCAUUUUGAGCAUGAGCACCAGGAUAAGAGAACCAAAGUCUGCUCAGCAAGGAUUCCACACAACAGCUUGGAGAUACUCUCCACCAGAGUCACCAUAGAACACAUGAAUAGGCGUAGAGAAUUGAGUGUGAACCAUGGCAGCAAAAGGCUUAUAGAUAAGACCUCACUACGAGAAGAAAUAAAGUAUAUAUUCAGGUG